GCCGCUGUGAAACAGACAGGAACGACGUGCAGCUCGAAUCAGAGCAAAUCUGUGGGGAACCGCAGCGUCCGAGCUGUCUGCGCUCCCUGAACGCAGCCUUGACGUGCGCACACGCAACAGGAGCGGAGAGUGGAGCUGGUAGAUGUUUUGAUGGUGGCUCACCAGCUAAUCCUUUUCACGUAUUGGGGCAAAAUUCGCCACUACGGUCAGGGUUGGGAUACGAGCAAGCUCAACGUUGGAUCGACAGUGAGGGGGAACGCCCUUGUUUAUUGUGCACUUAUGGUCAGGAUUCGAUCCAACUAAAUGGUUGAUUGCAUCUCACUCAAGUGAGCUACUCAUGGCCUUUUCCAAAGAGACACUUCUCCUUUAGUAGAGGUGAAUAUACGUCCAGCUACUAAUCAGGGGCGCAUUCUCUGAAUGUUGUCCCGUUCACUCCGGUUUGGACCAUCUGCACCCAGUUUUCAAUAUUUACCCACUUCUACGAGGUCAGGAUGCCACGGUCCAAAGAAAUUUCCGAAGAGCUCCGCAAAAAAGUUGUUGAGGCUCAUCAGUCUGGAAAAGGGUACAAGCUCAUUUCCAAGGCUCUGGGGCUCCCCAAGACAACAGUCCGAUCCAUACUGUGUAAAUGGAAGCGCUUUGGGACAGUCGGGAAUCGACCCAGGAGUGGCCGUCCCCCCAAAAUCUCUCCAGGAACAAGGCGGGAUAUCAUCCGCGAGGUGAUGAAAAACCCUUGCACCACCUCCAAGGAUCUGCAGGCCACUCUGGCCUCAGCCAACAUCCGCGUUCACGACUCCACCAUCAGGAGGAUACUGGGAAUUCAUGGAAGACCAACUCUAAGCGGCCUUGAGGAUAGCAUGGAGUUAAAAGCCUCCUCUGAGGAAGAGGGGGGCAUACAAGAGACUUCAGAAAAGUUGUCCGAUAUUUCGGAUGAGUUUAAUCGCGACGUAAAGGUCGAAGAAGACCAGAAUGACUCGGAAUACGAUCCCGUCGGGGUUCCCAAUGAUGAAGAGGAGCAUUUGGAUGAAGGUGAAGCUGCUGGCCCUAAUGGUGAAGACUGUUAUGAUGAUGAUGACGAUGAUGGUGAUGGUGCUGGUGAUGACAGCAAUGAGAAGCGUACUGAAAGCGAAGAUGACACUGACAGUGACUGGUGGUGAGAUAGUCACCAUGGUGGAGGGGUCAGUAGUGGCCAUGGUGGUGAUGCCAACAGUGGUGGAAGUUGUGGUGGUUUGGAGACUGAAGAGGACGUGACUGUGCAAGAACUUUCUUACUGAUAGCACAAAGCUAGCACCUAACCUAAAGCGAGUCUGACUCACAGCGGUGAGAAGGACCACCAAAAAUUCUGAACGUUGGGCGGGAUGGGGGCUAAGGUACCAAACUACAUAUGUGAUCCAUUGUUGUGUUGCUGUGACUGAUGCUUGGUCUCCUCACGAGGGCGAAGACCAUUGGCCACGAACUCUCCCUUUGGCUCCGAGCCAAGUCUACUUUCCCCACACCUGAUUGGUCGCUGAGCGUCUGCUGUAAUCAAAAGACUCGUUCCUGAUUGGCUCUGGAACGCCAAGCGGCUGUGGGCUGAUGCGUUCUCUCAUGAAUAUUCAUGAGUUCGUUGGCACCGGCUGGGACUCGACUGAGGAGGGACUGAAUAGGAAACCCCUCUGUUAUCUAAUCUUCCCAUCCUUUACUACCGUCUCUGCGGAUUUUGGUGCACGGAUUAACAUUUGAAGGUCAGUGUUAUCGGGUUACUGUUUCUCCCAGGAGAAAAGGGAGGACUGACUGCUGAAGGGAACGCCCUUUGCUUUAAAGUCACCUGCGCAAGGACCUCCAUCCGUUUGCAGGGUAUAAAAAGGCGGUGAAGGUGAAGGUCUGGACGUUAGUUCGGCUUAGCCAGCGUUAAGGAGCGAAGCCCCCGCAUCUGUUGGGGUAUUUUCAUCUCUCUGUCCGAGUUCUGGAGAGUAUCCUGGGUCAUAGCGACGUUUCAGGCGUGUAAGACGGAUAACGCGGUUCACGUUGACGUUUAUCUGCUUAGCUAAUUCCUCCCGCGCCUGCGUCUAAUCGUUAGUCAUAACUUCUCCACACUUCCCCAGCUUUACUGCGUCUU